AAACAGGGUGGAAACUGGAAAGAUCCAGAUUAUUAAUGUCCCAGCAGCAAGAGUACAGAAGCCAUAAACGGUAGUUAAGAUAGUUAAGACAAUAAGAGUAAAUACGACAUCCAAAGUCUUAGGAUAUUACAGAGAUUAGAGAAAAAGAGAUGGUAGGUCACUAACUGUACCGAGGCCAUUCUUGAAAGCGACUGAAGAAGAAGGCUCGGUGAAAAGAAAUGGCAGAAAAAUCACUUCCACUUCUUGAAUUUUCCUCCACCGAACAUGCCGUGCUUUCCAUGUUUGUGCUUCCCAAACUUCCCAUGCUUGAACUUCCCAUGGUGCUUGAAUUUUCCUCCAUGACCAUGACCAUAAUGAGCAACACCAUGGGGGUAAUGGCCAGCACUAUGGGCCACAUGAUGAGCGCCAUAUGCUGCUGCUGCAGCGGCAGCACCCCCGGCGAGCAUUCCUGCUACACCGUGCCCUGAAUGGUGUGGAGCAGAGGGUCCAGGAUAUGCACCAGGAGGAUAAGCACCCGGAGGGUAGCCAGCCGGGGGGUAACCAUGUGCCGGGGGAUAUCCUUGGGGUGGAUAGCCAUGAGAUGGAGGAUACCCUCCAGGUGGGGGGUACCCUCCAUGAGGUGGAUAUCCUCCUGCUGGAGGAUAUCCAGCUCCAUGAGCAACACCAUGAGCCAGAUGCGAGAAUAAACCUUUGUCAGAUUCAUCAUGUUUAUCUUUUCCACCCCCCAUGGUUUAAUAGCUUAUAAUAAAGAUCAAACGGACGAUAUUGUUCUUCGGAUAAGAAGAGAGAGAUGAGGAGAAUUGAAUUCUUGAAGAAUUCGUUAUAUAUAUGUAAAGAGAGAAGCAGUGGAAGCGAUUAAGAUUAAG
rnacentral:misc_RNA from 1 species